rnacentral:piRNA from 1 species
UGAUCAAAGGCACCAGCAGGUUCAGUG